rnacentral:rRNA from 1 species
AAUCAACGCUGGCGGCGUGCCUCAGACAUGCAAGUCGAACGAUAAAACUCUCCUUCGGGAGAGAUAUAAAGUGGCGCACGGGUGAGUAACACGUAGGUAAUGUACCGUAGGGUGGGGAAUAACUUAGGGAAACUUAAGCUAAUACCGCAUAAUGCAGCGGCUCGAUAUCGAGACGAAUGUUAAAGGAGCAAUCCGUCUUAUGAGCAGCCUGCGGCAGAUUAGCUAGUUGGUAAGGUAACGGCUUACCAAGGCUACGAUCUGUAUCCGACCUGAGAGGGUGGUCGGACACACUGACACUGAAUAACGGGUCAGACUCCUACGGGAGGCAGCAGUCGGGAAUUUUGGGCAAUGGGCGAAAGCCUGACCCAGCAACGCCGCGUGAAGGAUGAAGUCUUUCGGGAUGUAAACUUCGUAAGAAUAGGAAGAAUAAAUGACGGUACUAUUUGUAAGGUCCGGCUAACUACGUGCCAGCAGCCGCAGUAAAAC